rnacentral:rRNA from 1 species
UACGUAGGGGGCUAGCGUUGUCCGGAAUCAUUGGGCGUAAAGCGCGUGUAGGCGGUUCGGUAAGUCCGCUGUGAAAGUCGGGGGCUCAACCCUCGGAUGCCGGUGGAUACUGUCGGGCUAGAGUGCGGAAGAGGCGAGUGGAAUUCCUGGUGUAGCGGUGGAAUGCGCAGAUAUCAGGAGGAACACCAAUAGCGAAGGCAGCUCGCUGGGACGGUACUGACGCUGGAGGCGCGACAGCGUGGGGAGCAAACAGG